UGUACAGGGGUCAGGGCCUAGCUACUGCUGUGGGAUUUUUGCCCGUAAGUUGAAUGUUUUUUAAAAAUGUAUCUGACUUUCUCUGCAGCAAUCCUGCUGGGCCUACAGAGUUUCACAUGGGUACCUGGUACAGAAGAAAAUGAGAGCUAAGGAAGGUUGAUAAGCAGACGACACUUGCUUCUAGCGGAAGAGAGCUAUGCACUUCUUAUUCUGACAGCUGUUACUACAUUUUAUUUCCUAAAAUCCACAUAAGGUGAGGAAGGAAAUGCAAUCACAGACUGCUGCUGUCCAUGAGCACUGGAAGACCACGUACCUGUCUGAUUCCUUCAGUGUUGUUCAAUAUACUAAAGCAGGCGUCCGCGGGGCUGCACACCAUCUCGGCGCACGGCCCGGCUUCUUUCUCCCCAGGUUGGAAAUCAUACCAAACAUUCACCUUCUCACCCUCGUAGCGAUGCCCUUUUCCUCGGGUGUGAUCAGGAAUGAACUCCCUUCCCGACAGCAUCCUGAAUGACAGCUGGCAUCUAGCAAAGGAAAAGCUUCGGCUGGAUCACCAGGCUCCUCCCACUGGAGCCCAGGCUGGAAUAGCACAGGACCUGGAGAAGCUGAACGGGGCCUCCUCCCCUCCUUCCCUGCUCGUAGGUGCCAAGACUCAGUGCCCCUGGCCUCUGCUCCCAUUGUCUAGUUGAUGGGUGCAAACUCCUCCUCAAUCCUUUAGGGCAACCAGUAUGGAGGAGAGGAAGGGGAAACUGGAGGACUGUGUUUCCCUGUGAGGUAGAACCAGGCACAACUCCAUUUCCUUUGCAUCUGCACGUUACUUCUUCCCUGAGGAAAACAAUCACUGGUCAUGUUCUCAGACCUAAAAUGGGGAAAGGUGAAGAGACAGAUGGGACGCUGGAUUCUGUCAUUUCUCAGAGGCUGAGUUGGAGACACAAGAAAGAGCAAAGAGUUCUUGACCAGAGAUGGAAUUCUAGACGCACAUUUAUCCACAGCCCAGCUCUGACUCUCCAGUUAGUCCUUGUAUGAAUGUUUGUUCUCCACAGUUAACUGAUGAGAUCACCCAAAGCAGAAACUGUGCCUUGACAGUGCCUGAAAAUACAGUCGA